rnacentral:snoRNA from 1 species
ACGUCUCUUGCCUCGCUCGAUCUUCCGUCUACCCCAUCGCUUGAUCUUGAGCUGGAUGCAAUAACGCCAAUGGUGCUGUAUGCAUGAGACAAGAGCAACACUCGACGGUCUUUGAGUACGAGAUGGUCUCUUUAUCGCUCCAAGAUGUAGCCUUGUAAUUUAUCAGUCGAGACAACU